rnacentral:rRNA from 1 species
UACGUAGGGGACCAGCGUUGUCCGGAUUUACUGGGCGUAAAGAGCGCGCAGGCGGUCGUUCAAGUCGAGUGUGAAAGCCCCCGGCUCAACUGGGGAGGGUCACUCGAUACUGAUCGACUGGAAGGCAGGAGAGGGAAGCGGAAUUCCCGGUGUAGUGGUGAAAUGCGUAGAUAUCGGGAGGAACACCAGUGGCGAAGGCGGCUUCCUGGCCUGUUCUUGACGCUGAGGCGCGAAAGCUAGGGGAGCAAACGGG